UAAUGUGGAACUCGCUGUUUGUCCAAACCUGCUCUCUCUACAUAAAGACAUGGGACGGGGACGCCACCAAACACAAACGCGCCACCGAUCACCUCGUGAACCUGCAGCUGCGGGCGGACUACUGGACUUUUACACCGCUUGGCACGCAGAGGCCCAGGAGACCGAGACACGACUUGUAUUAGUGCGAGAAGGAAGGAGCACAGAAAAGAGAGGAGCUGGGAGAAGCAGGAGCGGGAAGCCAACUGAUGGGCUAGAGUGACCGAGGAUCCACUUUAGAAACUAAAGGUUGUCCCGGGAACUAGCCUCUGCUGCGUCUCCACGGCAAACGAUCUCCUCCAGAGCUGUGGAGUGUGACAAUGGUGUUUGUGUACUGUGUAUCAAACGCCAUUCUCACACUAAAUAGCUACAGUGUGAAAAAGACCUCAGUGUGUUUCCCCGUAUCCUGUGCAAACUUUAUACAACCGUGUUGCUUUUGCAGAUUUAAAACAGCCUCCGAUUUGGCGAAGCAUGUAAACGGGUCCACAAGUGUCGUAUGGCGGCUGUAGCGUGGGACACGUUGCACCGAGAUGGAAAUAGACAGUGUGUUGAUGGGCCGUGCGUGAUCUCGAGCCUCUGAGUGUGACCUACUUUAUCUUUUAGUGUUUUUGGUGCUAAUUUGCCGCUGGACACCUUCAUUUAUAAACACAGAUGGGACAACAGCAGAUGAAUUUUAACAGUUGUAAUUUUGUAUUUUCACGAUUGCACAAUUGUUAUAUUGUAAUAAUUAAAAUUGUUAUAUAAACAGUUUUUUGUUUUGUUUGUCUUCUGCUAAAGUGCAAAUAUUUGCUCGUCCGCAAUAAACAGCACUUUGUGUGAACGUUUUAUAAACUCCUUCACCUCGGCCCAGUGCAGACACUCUGUCCAAGUCAUGUUCCAACACUCCCCCUACCCUUGGAACCUGCACGCUACUGGUCCCAUUAUAGAAAAAGGAAAAUUAAGAAACCACAAAGCAUUUUCAACCAGCAACCUCUCUUUAAUAACAAAGAUCCACAGAGUGCUUCACACACUAGUCACAUAGCCACAGCCUGAGAGCCAUGUCAACAGUUUGGGGCAGGGAUUUAAAAAGGCAACACUGACAUUAUAGGACAGGAGAGGCUUAUUGUAUAGUGGCAGUCAGAGACGUUAGUUGAAAAGCCGGGACGCUUUAUUGAGAUUACGCCGUCGAUUUGGCUGCGGCUGUCAGGUUACAGUGUGGUUUGAUAAUUGAUUAUUGGUUUUAGUUUUUCAAGCCUGAGCUGAACCAGAGCCGUGGAUCUUCAAAAUAAUGCCAGAAAUCAAUGCAACAAACAGAACUGAUAGUAAAAUGACAAAUGAAUAAAUCAGUUUAAGAAGAAAACCA